rnacentral:lncRNA from 1 species
CGUUUUUUUCCCUCUAUGUUUCUUUUUGUUUUUAAUUUAUUUGACAAAAUCAAUCUCCUCCAUUUGUAAAAGUGAUGUCCAUCUCCUCCAUUUGUAAAAGAACAACGGCAAAAUCAAAGAUGCAGAAGGGAAACACAUGGAACAACAUCAACUCAUCUUCUCAAGUUAUCAGUUAUCUUCCUUUCACCAUUUUUUUUUUCUUUCUAUGUUAUAUUUCUCCUACCCGCGACCUUUUCUUCUAGAUCUCCAUCACCAUAGACAACCUUCAAAAAAAUCACCAUCAUAUAAAGACUCAUUGAUAUUCACUACAAAUCUCACAAAGUAAAAAUCCAGAUCGGACUAAUUUUACCGGUGACCACCGCGCCGGAAAUUGCAUCCACCGUGUGGGAAAAUGAAAUCCUUCUAUUUUGUAAAUAUCGGUUGGUAUUUGUCAUUAGAUUUUUUUUUUUUGUAAAUAUUACUUUUGUCUUCUUUCCUUCUCUCAUGCAUACAACAACAAUAAUAAAGUUUAGAUUUAGAAACUUAACUUUUCUUGUGGUAGCUGUUAAUUUUUUAGAUUUGUUCUGUUUGUGUUUUUUUAGAUCUAUUUGAAUUUUCAAUUUGUAUAUGAAGAGCACUAUAUGGUUUGUUUGGAUCUGAUUGUAUUUUUCUAUUUUUUCAUAUGAAGUUGUUGCAAAAUUUAAUGAAAGUGAAAAACAAAAGGACAAGAAACUUUGAUUGAUUUUUUUGGAUUUGAUUGUAUUUUUUGUUUUAUCUUUUAAAAAUAUAUAGUUUCAUAUUUUUUAUUUUCUCCAUUUUUCUUUGAUUUCGUCAAGAAAUUUAUUUUUAAAUUAUGAUCUUCUUUAUUCAUCU